AUUGAACGCUGGCGGCAGGCCUAACACAUGCAAGUCGAACGAGUGGCGGACGGGUGAGUAAUGUCUGGGAAACUCCCCGAUGGAGGGGGAUAACUACUGGAAACGGUAGCUAAUACCGCAUACCAUCGGAUGUGCCCAGAUGGGAUUAGCUAGUAGGUGGGGUAACGGCUCACCUGGGCGACGAUCCCUAGCUGGUCUGUGAGGAUGACCAGCCACACUGGAGCGGAGCACAGGUCCAGACUCCGACGGGAGGCAGCAGUGGGCAAUAUUGCACAAGGGGGGCAAGCCUGAGGCAGCCAUGCCGCGUGUAUGAAGAAGGCCUGCGGGUUGUAAAGUACUUUCAGCGAGGAGGCGUUACUCGCAGAAGAAGCACCGGCUAACUCCGUGCCAGCAGCCGCGGUAAUAC
rnacentral:rRNA from 1 species